rnacentral:rRNA from 1 species
CCAUGCGAGUUGAGAGGGUUCGGCCCUCGGCAGACCGCUCAGUAACACGUGGUGAACCUGCCCUAGGGUGGAGGAUAAUCUCGGGAAACUGAGGAUAAUACUCCAUAGCCCACCUCUGCUGGAAUGCUUGGUGGGCCAAAGAUUCAUCGCCCUAGGAUGGCACUGCGAUCUAUCAGGUUGUAGGGAGGGUAACGGCCUCCCUAGCCUACGACGGAUACGGGCGUUGAGAGACGUCGCCCGGAGAUGAACUCUGAGACACGAGUUCAGGCCCUACGGGGCGCAGCAGGCGCGAAAACUGCACAAUGGUGGAAACACCGAUGCGGGAACUCCAAGUGCCGGCACUAAGUGUCGGCUGUUCCAUUGUCUAAAAAACAUAGGAAGUAAGGGCUGGGUAAGACGGGUGCCAGCCGCCGCGGUAAUACCUGCAGCCCGAGUGGUGGCCGUUAUUAUUGGGCCUAAAACGUCCGUAGCCGGUUGGGUAGAUGCCUGUGUAAAUCGAACGGCUUAACCGUUCGAAAUGCGGGUAGACCGCCCGACUAGGGACCGGGAGAGUCACGAAGUACUCCGGGGGUAGAGGUGAAAUUCCGUAAUCCUCGGGGGACUACCGGUGGCGAAGGCGUCGUGAUAGAACGGCUCCGACGGUGAGGGACGAAGCCCUGGGGCGCAAACCGGAUUAGAUACCCGGGUAGUCCC